CCUAAGAGAUACGUGUUAUGUGCAGUGCUCACACAGAUUGUCUGAUGAAGAACGAGCAAAAGCGCGUCUGCGAAGCUGACAGAAGUCCCCUUCGUCUAGAGGCCUAGGACACCGCCCUUUCACGGCGGUAACAGGGGUUCGAAUCCCCUAGGGGACGCCAAUGCGCGGUAUGAGUGAAAGGCGUACCACUUAUCUGACGAGAGUCAGAGAAUAACUAAGCUAAUUCAAAUGAGUUAUCUUACUUAUUAUGCUCUUUAACAAUCUGGAACAAGCUGAAAAAUUGAAAACAAAUCAAUAUAUCACCGAGGUAUAUUGAUGAGUCUCUCAAAAUCUCAAACCUUAAAGUUUGUCACGCAAAGUUUAUCUUUGAAAGAGACACUUUCGGGUUGUGA
rnacentral:misc_RNA from 1 species